CUCUCACGGGAGACAUCCACGUCAGUAAUUCAAGUGUCCAGGAUGCGACACCUGUCCCAUCUAUCAAAAGCACUGCGUUUCAUUUAAUUGAUUUGGGCUUCGGUGGUUUGUAUACGGGCUUAAUGUAACCCAGACCGAAUUAAGAGCAACAAUGUAGUUAAACGCUAAACUCGAUCUAGGGUUUUGACAGCGUUCUUUUCAUCUUCUGUCUAAAAACUCUCAGGCAAUGGAUAUCUAACUCUCCCGAAACUAUAGUUGGUGUCUUUUUGGUUGUUGGUGUUUGCUUGACAAUUUGUGUCUGCUCGAUUUCUAUUCCGGCUACCUUCUCUGAGAAACCGUCAAAGUUUGAUAAUUCACUUCUCCGACUUGAAGGCCGGCCGCUGCAAGUGUGUCGUUCAGAACUGACUCCGGAGGUCAGUUGAUGGCCAUCGAUAUGCUCCUUCUUGAUGCCAAUGUAAAUUGCUUCAUAAGUUUAAUUCAUCUUCAUAUACGGCUUUAGAUUUCGAUUACUUUCAAAUUGAUAACCCGUGUUUUUGAAGAAAUGAAAUUUGGUUCUUAACUCCAUGAGCAUGUGAGUUAGCUAGGAGCAGCUACUGUCCAUGUCUGCACUUCUGAAGGUGAAACAGCUUCAGAUCCUUCACAAGGACACCCCAUAAUGGAAGUAGAAAUCAACCAGAGAACAAAAUUUCCGAGCUAUGUAUUAGGAUAGUGGUGAAGACAUUUACAUUGUCGUCUCCAGUUCCCAAACAAACAAAGGUUUGUAUUAUAUGCCAGACUUAUUGUCAUG